GGAAAACUUGGUUCUAGUUUCUUCUUUGGUCAUCAUUUAUCUGCCACAUGCAAGUAAAAUCCUCUCCAGCAGAAUCCUCUCUAAUCAAAACUUUAGAAAGAAGCACAUAAGUUAAAAACACAAGUGUAUAUUUUAUAUCUGCGGUCAGCAGUGCUUAACAUUGUACAAUCUAUGAAAAUAGGAUACAGGUAAAAUGAAAAAAGGAGGCACAUAACGUGCCAGCAGCCGCGGUUAUACGUUAUACCUUAAGUCAAAGAUAACCGGUACCAAAGCAGAGAAGGUAAUAAAACAGAUAAAAAAGAAUAUACAGCAGUAAUAAGCUAAUAAUAUAUCUAACUUAUCAUAAACACCCACUCUAAAAGGAAAGAGAUAAACUAGGAUUAGAUACCCUACUAUACUUUUCCUCACAAAAAACUUCACCAGAGUAAUACGGUCCGCACUAAAACUUAAAGAACUUGGCGGUUUUUUAGAUCUUCUUGGAGGAGCUUGUCAUUGAAUUGAUAACCCACAAGAUACCUCACCUUCUUAAGAGAACCAGCCUGUAUACCAUCGUCGUCAGCUCACCUCAACAGAGAGUGAACAAAAAGAAAGAAUCUCCCAACGUCAGAUCAAGGUGCAGCCAAUAAGAAGGGAAUUGAUGAGCUACCAUACUUUUAAAAUUAGAGGAAAUGAAAGUUAAAACUUCAUAAAAAAAGGAUUCAACAGUAACAAAGUAUAGAAAGACUUAGUAAAGUAAGCUCUAAAAUGCGCACACAUCGCCCGUCACUCUCCUCAUCAGAGGAGAAAAGUCGUAACAUAGUAGGUGUACCGGAAGGUGCCACCUGGAACAAU
rnacentral:ncRNA from 1 species